rnacentral:rRNA from 1 species
CUCCCGGCACGGGGAGGUAGUGACGAAAAAUAACGAUACGGGACUCAUCCGAGGCCCCGUGAUCGGAAUGAGCACACUUUAAAUCCUUUAACGAGGAUCAAUUGGAGGGCAAGUCUGGUGCCAGCAGCCGCGGUAAUUCCAGCUCCAAUAGCGUAUAUUAAAGUUGCUGCGGUUAAAAAGCUCGUAGUCGAAAUUGUGUCCUCGGCCGCCGGUUCGUCGCUCGCGACGCCAACUGGCGCGCACCGCUGGACGUCCAGCCGGUACAACGAACUCGCCUACGGGGUGCUCUUAACCGAGUGUCCAGGCGGGGGCCGGCAACGUUACUUUGAACAAAUUAAAGUGCUUAAAGCAGGCUAAAUUGCGCUCGCAUACACGCGCAUGGAAUAAUCGAAUAGGACCUCCGUUCUAUUUUGUUGGGUUUUUGUGGAACGACAGACGGAGGUAAUGAUCAAUGGGUGCGGAUGGGGGCAUUCGUAUUGCGACGUUAGAGGUGAAAUUGGUUGGACCGUCGCAAGACGGACUUAAGCGAAAGCAUUUGCCAAAAACGCUUUCAUCGAUCAAGAACGAAAGUUAGAGGUUCGAAGGCGAUCAGAUACCGCCCUAGUUCUAACCAUAAACUAUGCCAGCUAGCGAUCCGCCGAAGUUACUUYUAUGACUCGGCGGGCAGCUUCCGGGAAACCAAAGCUUUCGGGUUCCGGGGGAAGUAUGGUUGCAAAGCUGAAACUUAAAGGAAUUGACGGAAGGGCACCACCAGGAGUGGAGCCUGCGGCUUAAUUUGACUCAACACGGGAAACCUCACCAGGCCCGGACACCGGAAGGAUUGACAGAUUGAGAGCUCUUUCUUGAUUCGGUGGGUGGUGGUGCAUGGCCGU